rnacentral:lncRNA from 1 species
AACAAAGAAGUCCAAAAUUUAAAAACAAAUAAUUUUGAGAUAAUUGAUUUUACAUCCUACUUUAAUAAAAACGAACGCCUAAGACAAAGAAACUAAAAGAAAGGAAAAACAUAAAAGAAACAAAUAAAUUAAAAUAAACAAAUAAUAAAACAAAAAGAAAAAAAAAGAAAAAGGAAAGGGCACACCUGGAUUCGAAAUCAAGACCUAGAGCCAUGGGAAAAGCGCAUCAAAAAGAAAGAAAAUUUUGAUGGGUGCAAGGGUUCAAACUGGAGAACUUGGGGAUUGUGAGGACAUGUUGACCAAUACGUCCAAGUCCACACUAGUGUCAAUCUUUAGCAACAACUAUAAUAUAUGUGAAUUUAGCAGCUUAUGUUCAUUUCAAAAAAAAAAACCUUAGCACUUUCUGUCUUGCCUCAAGCCCAGAGCCCCAAACAGCUCUUUGUUUUUCCGUGUCAGACUUUUCCCAUUCAACAGACAUGGCAUGCACACAUGUCAUGCAUCCAUGUGGUGAACUUCUUAGGAUUCCAAAAUAAAGGCUAAGCUGUGCCCCAUUUUUCCCAUUUAUGAUUACCUUUUAGAAAUCCUAAGCCUCUUUCAGAGAUAUCUCUCAAUAAUUCAAGGACCUCCUUUCAUUUCACUCAGCCCUCUCUUCCCAUUUAUCUCAGACCUCUCUCCCUUUAAGAUAAAAAAAAAAAAAAAAAAAAAAGCUCUCGUCGGCGCCGUCUCUCUCUCGAAACUCUCAUCUCUCUCAUUUCUCUGUGCACCGAGACCCACAUACACACACGCACACCAUCGCACCUGCUUGAGGAAGACACACAUCGUCAUCAGCAACCUCGUCUUUCUCCCUUUCCUUCUCGUCUCUGCAACUCGGCGACGCAGGAACCCUCCGGCGAGUUUCUUGAAUUUCUCCGGUUAGGUAAGCUUCGGGUUUACCUCAUUAUGUUCUAGAUUGAAGCUUAGAUGUGAAAUUUAAGUUCUAUCUCGUGUUUUUGCAAGGUUUUUGGGACGAAAUCGGCUCGGGAAUAGGCACACCCAUCUCCGGCGAGGCCGUGGGUGUCGACGAACUUUUCGAACACCUCCGACUGUUUCACGGCAAACGGAAGUUAUAAAAACAUUCCUCUCGUCUUGUAUUUCAUUUUGAUACCUAGAUCGGAGUCUAGGGUGCUCUUUUACAGUCGGCCGGAGCUGUAAAAGCUCCGGCGUUCUUCUCGAUUAGCACAUGACACACCCCGUCCCGAAGGAGGGCGUGCUGGCCGUCACGUGAGAGUGACGUAACCAUUUACACAGUUCGGAAGCUUUAAAAAAAAUUUCCAAUUACUAAGAUAACACACCCGAGGGUGAGUCCUACUUUUGUGAAUUCUGUCAGAACACCGUUGGAUUCCUCGUGGCCACCAAAGCUUUGCUAACUUGAACCUGGAGGGGCGCAAAACAAAAUUGAGUGGGUCAGUAAAACAAAGUUUUUCGAAAACUUUUCAUUUAAAACAUUUCUAACCCCUCACCGUAAAACCUGUAUACUUUCCCAGAAAAUAGCAUAUAUAUAAGCAAAAAUCUCAAAUCUCAAACCUUUAACACUUUUCAGAAAUAUAUAUAUAUAUAUAUAUAUAUAACCAUAUGAAAUCUCAAAGCUUGAAUCCCAAAUCUUUAACAUUUUUCAAGAAAAACAUGCCAUGCCAUAAAUCAAAAUAUAAAUCAGGUGAAAUAAGGAAUCAAUCGGAGACCCUGCAGUUGGUCCUAUACGAUUAAUUCAAUAGCUCAAUAUCUCACUAAGCCGGAGUCACCACAGUGACUUAUACGGCCCUACUCUGCACAUCACUCGGAACUACGUAAGGUAGUCUAUACGAUGAAAGGUGUAAAAUACGCUCUAGUGCUUCUCUCAUCAUAUCAUCAGCGCGCAUAUCUAAGGUCACCCACCAGUCGGAACCCCUCUAAUGGUCUGUACGACUGGCAUGUCGGAACCCUCACAUGGUCUGUACGACAUCCACCUACUUGGAUCCAAGGCGAGCGUGCGGUGUGGUGAAUAAUAUAAGCACUAACACCUAGGGUGCAGAUUAUGAGCUCAAACAUCGAAACAUCAAUCAAUUAAAUGAAUAAUAAACUCACCUGACGUACCUGUGCCUCCACAGCACCAUGCAACAUGUAUGCAUCAUAUAUCAAUCAUGUAAUUCAUAUAACAAUUCACAUUUUCAAAUAAUUUUAUGCAUGGCAUUUUUAAAGCAUAUCUUCAUAUAAAUUCAUUUUUUGGGAAAAAUCAAUAGUAUAAAGGUAAUACAAAAACAAAACUGCCCACUCACCUGGAGUUCGCCCACAACUCCCUAGCACCGUACAUCAAGGCGUCAUGACGAUUAGCGCCUAGAACAAAAAUCAAAUCCAACCUCAGAAAUUCUGCCGAUAGAAUAUACAUAACUUAUAUAAGACACGUCACUACGUAGUUCGAUCCGGAUGAUCUGCAAUUCAGAUUUCAAAUCCGUAACUUCUAGAGGUCCACAAUAUACCUCUAGGACAACAUCCUAAAAUUUCAUUACCAUCCAACGGUCGGAUCUCCGUCAAUUUCCAAAACUAAGUGACGGUUAACAUUCUAUUUUAUGAACUUACAACUUCAAUUCCGGAAGAUCCGUAAAUCGGAUUCCCCAUCCGUAAGUUCCUAUAAUCCUCAAAUAUUACGUAUUACAACGUAUCAAAGUUUGAUGACGAUCCAACGGUCGGAUCGUCAAUUCACAUUUUCACCUAACCACGAAUCGUAACCAACUUAGGUUCAAUUAUUCAAUUUACGUCCAUCAAUUAUCAAAAAAGAACCUAGAACCUUAAUCACAAGCUAAUAAUGACAUUGGCGGGCCAUUGGCCACGCGCCGCCGCGCGGGCCGCCGCGGGUGGCGGUUGGCCGCCCCCGGCUCGCCGGAAAAUUCAACUAUUUCCAAAAAUUACCAAAAUUUGCAGAUUUGAAGAUCUCAAUGAGUAGAACAAAUUUCAUACCUGAGACCAAGGCCAAUUUGGCCUGGAAGUGCUUCAAUUUCACCAAAACCGUGAAGAACCCUAGAAUUUGGGUGUUUCCAAUUCGACCUUCAAACUUGUUCCAACGCCUCAAUUACCUCUUGGGCUUUGUUCUAGGUCCUAAAGGAAUGCUAAAGGUGUUAGUAAUUGAAAGAAAACAUUUCAAAAUUUGGAGAAUUUAAACAAAAGGGUCGCGGCACCCGUAGGGGUGUUCUUCGCGAAAUCACAACGAAAUUCAAUGAUUCUUGGGGUGAAACGUGAAGAGGGAAGGCCUAGAUGAUGAUUAGGAGUGGUACCUUGACUCAAUUCGUCAGAAAUUUGGACAAAAAUGGCGAAAACCCGCCGAUUGGAAGUCGCGGGUCGCGCGACCGCACGGGUCAAGGACGACCCGUUUCUCCUGUUCCCCCAUGCACCACUCUCCCUCCUUUCCCUCCUUUCCUUCCCCUGAUUGGUCAGCUUCUUCCUCUCCCUUCUUCUGGUUCGCUCUCAUCUUCUUCUUCUCCGAUUGGGCAUUUCUGC